GAUAAACGCUGGCGGCGUGCCUGACGCAUGCAAGUCGAACGAAGCCUUCGGGCUUAGUGGCGGACGGGUGAGUAACACGUAGGAACCUGCCCAGGAGUGGGGGACAACCCCGCGAAAGCGGGGCUAAUACCGCAUACGGUCUACGGACCAAAGCCUUCGGGCGCUCUUGGAGGGGCCUGCGGCGGAUUAGCUUGUUGGUGGGGUAACGGCCUACCAAGGCGACGAUCCGUAGCUGGUCUGAGAGGAUGGCCAGCCACACUGGGACUGAGACACGGCCCAGACUCCUACGGGAGGCAGCAGCGAGGAAUUUUCCGCAAUGGGCGAAAGCCUGACGGAGCAACGCCGCGUGGGGGAAGAAGGCCUUCGGGUUGUAAACCCCUGUUGCGAGGGAAGAAGAUCUGACGGUACCUCGCGAGGAAGCCACGGCUAACUACGUGCCAGCAGCCGCGGUAA
rnacentral:rRNA from 1 species